rnacentral:rRNA from 1 species
GAUGAACGCUAGCGGCAGGCUUAACACAUGCAAGUCGAGGGGUAUAGUUCUUCGGAAUUAGAGACCGGCGCACGGGUGCGUAACGCGUAUGCAAUCUACCUUUCACAGAGGGAUAGCCCCAGAGAAAUUUGGAUUAAUACCUCAUAGUAUAGCAGUUUCGCAUGAAACCACUAUUAAAGUCACAACGGUGAAAGAUGAGCAUGCGUCCCAUUAGCUAGUUGGUAAGGUAACGGCUUACCAAGGCAACGAUGGGUAGGGGUCCUGAGAGGGAGAUCCCCCACACUGGUACUGAGACACGGACCAGACUCCUACGGGAGGCAGCAGUGAGGAAUAUUGGACAAUGGGCGCAAGCCUGAUCCAGCCAUGCCGCGUGCAGGAUGACGGUCCUAUGGAUUGUAAACUGCUUUUAUACAGGAAGAAACACUACUUCGUGAAGUAGCUUGACGGUACUGUAAGAAUAAGGAUCGGCU